AGGGCCGGAAGGUAGCAGCACA
rnacentral:SRP_RNA from 1 species